rnacentral:rRNA from 1 species
AGUGAACGCUGGCGGUAGGCCUAACACAUGCAAGUCGAACGGCAGCACAGUAAGAGCUUGCUCUUACGGGUGGCGAGUGGCGGACGGGUGAGGAAUACAUCGGAAUCUACUUUUUCGUGGGGGAUAACGUAGGGAAACUUACGCUAAUACCGCAUACGACCUACGGGUGGAAGCAGGGGAUCUUCGGACCUUGCACGAUUGAAUGAGCCGAUGUCGGAUUAGCUAGUUGGCGGGGUAAAGGCCCACCAAGGCGACGAUCCGUAGCUGGUCUGAGAGGAUGAUCAGCCACACUGGAACUGAGACACGGUCCAGACUCCUACGGGAGGCAGCAGUGGGGAAUAUUGGACAAUGGGCGCAAGCCUGAUCCAGCCAUACCGCGUGGGUGAAGAAGGCCUUCGGGUUGUAAAGCCCUUUUGUUGGGAAAGAAAAGCAGCAGGUUAAUACCUCGCUGUUCUGACGGUACCCAAAGAAUAAGCACCGGCUAACUUCGUG